CCCACCCGUGUCUAUCGUACCUUGUUGCUUCGGCGGGCCCGCCGUUUCGACGGCCGCCGGGGAGGCCCUGCGCCCCCGGGCCCGCGCCCGCCGAAGACCCCAACAUGAACGCUGUUCUGAAAGUAUGCAGUCUGAGUUGAUUAUCGUAAUCAGUUAAAACUUUCAACAACGGAUCUCUUGGUUCCGGCAUCGAUGAAGAACGCAGCGAAAUGCGAUAAGUAAUGUGAAUUGCAGAAUUCAGUGAAUCAUCGAGUCUUUGAACGCACAUUGCGCCCCCUGGUAUUCCGGGGGGCAUGCCUGUCCGAGCGUCAUUGCUGCCCUCAAGCACGGCUUGUGUGUUGGGCCCCCGUCCCCCUCUCCCGGGGGACGGGCCCGAAAGGCAGCGGCGGCACCGCGUCCGGUCCUCGAGCGUAUGGGGCUUUGUCACCUGCUCUGUAGGCCCGGCCGGCGCCAGCCGACACCCAACUUUAUUUUUCUAAGGUUGACCUCGGAUCAGGUAGGGAUACCCGCUGAACUUAAGCAUAUC
rnacentral:rRNA from 1 species